GGAAGAGUAAGCCAAGUAGGUCUACUGGUCGCUGUCUUGAAAACAGUUGGGGUUUAAAAGCCCGUGUGGGUUCGAGCCCCACUUCUUCCG
rfam:Cellulophaga phage phi38:1, complete genome.